CGUGUGAUCUUCCUGAUCUCGCCGAAUCGCCGUCCGACGGGCGGAUUGGGGAAAUGUGGCGUACGGAAGACCGCUUGCCCGAUGUCGCUCGGGGGCCUGAGUCCUUCUGAUCGAGGCUCA